rnacentral:rRNA from 1 species
UACAGAGGCCUCGAGCGUUAGGCGGAAUCACUGGGCUUAAAGCGUGUGUAGGCGGACUUCUAAGUACCUUGUGAAAUCCCACAGCUUAACUGUGGAACUGCUUGGUAUACUGGUUGUCUUGAGGUACCUAGGGGCGAGCGGAACAAGUGGUGGAGCGGUGAAAUGCGUAGAUAUCAGGAGGAACACCCGUAGCGAAGGCGGCACUCUGGGCCGAUACUGACACUGAGGAGCGAAAGCGUGGGGAGCGAACAGG